rnacentral:rRNA from 1 species
GUAGGGAAUAUUGGACAAUGGGGGGAACCCUGAUCCAGCCAUGCCGCGUGGAGGAAGACUGCCCUCUGGGUUGUAAACUCCUUUUAUAUGGGAAGAACCGUCCUCAUUAAUGAGUGACCUGACGGUACCAUAGGAAUAAGCACCGGCUAACUCCGUGCCAGCAGCCGCGGUAAUACGGAGGGUGCAAGCGUUAUCCGGAUUCACUGGGUUUAAAGGGUGCGUAGGCGGAUAAAUAAGUCAGUGGUGAAAUCAACGGGCUCAACCUGUUAACUGCCAUUGAUACUGUGUAUCUUGAAUAUGAGAGAGGUAGGCGGAAUGUUGCAUGUAGCAGUGAAAUGCUUAGAUAUGCUACGGAACACCGAUUGCGAAGGCAGCUUACUAUUUCGUAAUUGACGCUGAGGCACGAAAGCGUGGGUAGCGAACAGGAUUAGAAACCCCAGUAGUCC